AGCAGCCGCGGUAAUUCCAGCUCCAAUAGCGUAUAUUAAAGUUGUUGCAGUUAAAAAGCUCGUAGUUGAAUUUCGAGAUCAAAUUGUUGGUCGUGCCUUGGUACGCACUGGCAUUAUUGGUUUCUCCCUUCUGAAGAACCAAGAUGUCAUUAAUUUGGUGUCUUGGGGAAUCAGGACUGUUACUUUGAAAAAAUUAGAGUGUUUAAAGCAGGCUCGCGCUUGAAUACAUUAGCAUGGAAUAAUGAAAUAGGACGUUUGAUUCUAUUUUGUUGGUUUCUAGGAUCGACGUAAUGAUUAAUAGGGAUAGUUGGGGGCAUUAGUAUUCAAUUGUCAGAGGUGAAAUUCUUGGAUUUAUUGAAGACUAACUACUGCGAAAGCAUUUGCCAAGGAUGUUUUCAUUAAUCAAGAACGAAAGUUAGGGGAUCGAAGACGAUCAGAUACCGUCGUAGUCUUAACCAUAAACUAUGCCGACUAGGGAUCGGAUGAUGUUAAUUUUUAAUGACUCAUUCGGCGCCUUAAC
rnacentral:rRNA from 1 species